ACACACAAAAAAAAAAAAAAAAAACACUAGAGUGUCUCUCUUUCACCUCUCUUGAUCUUCAUAUACAUAACAACAACAACAGACUUAAAAGUCUGACUCCCUCCUCUCUCUCGAUGCAACACAUAUGCAGACAAUACAAUUCACACUCAAAGUUCAAACACCCUUCAUCUCUCACAUCCUACCAUCACCCUCUCGAUCCCCUCUCUCUCUCUGUUGAAACCGCCGGCAAGGAGCCGGCCACACCCCUCCGACCCCUCGGUAACCGGCCGACAAACACCCACCUGCACACCCCUUCUCCGAUCUGGUGUAAUCGGCCGACCACCACCAUCGUUUGGUGAUGGUGCGGUGACCAAGCAAAGAAGAAGGAUCGAUGAGAGAGAGAUCGAGACGAAAGAAAGAGCGCCGGAGGAGCAGCACCGCCGUGAGCGGCGGUGGCAGUGGAGUGCGGCGGCGGUUGCAUCUCGGACCGGUGGUCCUUGACUCGGACCGGCGGUCCUUGUCUCGGUCCGACGAGUAUUCCGAUGAUGAUUGGUUCUAGUCAUUUCAGUCUCGGGUCAGGUUUGGGUGUUCGGCUCAGCUACGGUCUGGGUUCGGUUGGGUUCGAGGAAAGUUCGGUCAACACCGGGUCACAAGCAGCCAAAGCUGGUCAAAGGAGAGGCGGUUAGGUUCGGUCAACGGUUCGGGUCAAGCGGUUUGGUCAGAUUCAACUUCGGUAUGGUUGACUCGGUCAAACCGAGUCAACUCGGUCAACCUGGUCAACUCAGCGAGUCGACCCGGUCAACUCAGUUGACCCGGUCGACUCAGUCAACAUUUUUGGCGUUACAACAUUAGAAAUUUGGUAAAGCGGCACGAUUAUCUCGUUAUUUUUUUUAUAUGUUACGUGACACACGAGCUUGAACC